CGCCCGACGCUACUACCGAUUGAUUUAUUUAGUGAGGCUUCCGGACGUAAUCACUGCGGCACGUUUUAUGUGUUGCAGAUGUUUCGUGAAACUUACCCGAACUUGUUUAUUUAGAGGAACUAAAAGUCGCAACAA
rnacentral:ncRNA from 1 species